CCAUUGGCCAAACAGUAUUUUAUUCAACAAUCAAUAAGAUAAACAUACAUAGACGUACUUCCCCAUCACCCUUCUACUUUUAUGUCUUCUAAGAACUUCGGGUGACCACUGGGACUAAAGGUGGAGCCAAGCCUUUUCAGCCUUCCCCACUGACCCCAAGCACUGUGUGCUCCACACAAAGCCAUGCGCAGCCAGUGGAAUGUGGACUAUUCCUCGAUGUUCUGGCAUGGACAUGAUCUCCUUCGUGCUUCCAACACGGGAUUCCGAUCAAUAAGUUGGGGCCCCAAGCUUCUUCAGGAAAACAGUUUUUAUUUGUGCUAGCAGAUUCAUCCAAACUUCUGUUUCAAAGAACCAAGCCCCAAAGGCUCACUAGACGGAGCCUUUUGGAUUUUGCGUCUUUGUCUCCCAUACAUGGAAGGGAAACUAAUCACCCCACAUCAUCCCCAAGACUUGUGAACGACUGCUCUUUCUGUACUGAGUACUCACAGAUGUGGAAACAGACCCACAGGGAACUCACGGGGCUAUCGGCAAUAGAGGCACCGUCAGUCCCAGCACCAAGUCCCAUCAGGGAAGUAGCCAAACUCUGUGUGAAAUAAUUAAAAAAUUAUUUUUCACUUUCUUAA